ACAAAUUAUGAGAAUUUAAAUGCUUUAUUGGGAGAUUUUCAGCCACCAAUAGUAAGAUAAAAUAUUAAACAAAAUCCUUUAUUGGGAUAUUUUCAAAUUUUAUUUUAAUUUAUUUUUUUCUGUCCUCUGCGAACUCUGCUAUCUCAUGCUUUCACGGUAGGGCUAUCAACUGGGCAGGUCUUAUAUUACUCAUGCCCAGCUAAUCGUUUCAGAUCUUUUCAGGUCCAGGUCUAACUUUUGAAGAACCAUACUUGGAUCCUUAGGUAUCCAUUAUGUCUUUCGAUUUAGGUUUUAAGUUAGGUUCAUGUCAAAUAAGAGCAUUAACAUGGUCAGCCUACCUGAUGGAUGUGUCUUGGGAAAUCAUCUUUUGUUCUUAGAAUUAUUCAUAUGUAUUAAAUAUAUAAUAUGCUAGUAAAAUUAGAGAUUUUCACUGCUGAAUUCCUCGUGAACUAGAAUUUUACCAAACAAUGAAGCCUAAAUGCGUGUAUGUACUUUUUUUAGUAGUGAAAUUACUAUAAUGCCUAAUA